rnacentral:rRNA from 1 species
GGACUACUGGGGUAUCUAAUCCUGUUUGCUCCCCACGCUUUCGCGUCUCAGCGUCAGUAUCCGUCCAGAAGGCCGCCUUCGCCACCGGUGUUCCUCCUGAUAUCUACGCAUUUCACCGCUACACCAGGAAUUCCACCUUCCUCUCCGGUACUCUAGCCUCCCAGUUUCCAAUGCACUUCCGGGGGUAAGCCCCGGGCUUUCACAUCAGACUUAAGAGGCCGCCUACACGCGCUUUACGCCCAGUGAUUCCGAACAACGCUUGCACCCUCCGUAUUACCGCGGCUGCUGGCAC